UUUUAUUUUAAAAGAAAAAAAGUACAUAUUAUUAAUAAUAUCGCAAUAACAUGCAUUAUCUAAACAUUUGUAAAAUUAAAGCCUUUU